rnacentral:rRNA from 1 species
GACGAACGCUGGCGGCGUGCUUAACACAUGCAAGUCGAACGGAAAGGCCCUGCUUUUGUGGGGUGCUCGAGUGGCGAACGGGUGAGUAACACGUGAGUAACCUGCCCUUGACUUUGGGAUAACUUCAGGAAACUGGGGCUAAUACCGGAUAGGAGCUCCUGCUGCAUGGUGGGGGUUGGAAAGUUUCGGCGGUUGAGGAUGUACUCGCGGCUUAUCAGCUUGUUGGUGGGGUAGUGGCUUACCAAGGCUUUGACGGGUAGCCGGCCUGAGAGGGUGACCGGCCACAUGGGGACUGAGGUGCGGGCCGGACGCAUACGGGAGGCAGCAGUGGGGAAUAUUGCACAAUGGGCGGAAGCCUGAAGCAGGAACGCCGCGUGGGGGAAGACGGCCUUCGGGUAGUAAACCGCUUUCGCGUGUGACGAAGCGUGAGUGACGGUAAUGGGGAAAGAAGCACCGGCUAACUACGU